UACGUAGAGAGCAGGCAUUAUUCGGUUUUACUUGGCGUAAAGAGUUCAUAGGCGGUUGUCUAAGUCUUCUGUUUAAUCCCAACGCUCAACGUUGGGGCCGCGGGAGAUACUGGGCUUCUAGAAAUCGGUAGAGGAAGGGAGAAUUUCCGAUUCGGCGGUAAAAUGCUUAGAUCGGGAGGAAUGCCCAAGGCGAAAGCGCCCUUCUGGGUCGAUUUGACGCUGUAAGAACGAAACCGUAGGGAGAGAAAGGG
rnacentral:rRNA from 1 species